rnacentral:rRNA from 1 species
AGGGAAAGUUGCAAAGCACUUUGAAGAGAGAGUUAAAGAGGACGUGAAACCGAUGAGAUCGAAACGGAUGGAGUCAGCGUAUCUGACCUGUAUUCAGUCACACAUCUGUCAGUCGUCAUGUGUUGAUUUCCAGACUGGGACAGUGUGUGGCUAGCUGAUUGUUGUGUGGUGCAUUUGCAGGUGGAGUGCGUCGAGACGCUCGGUGUGGCGACAUGAGCUCAGUUUUGAGGCCAGCUUGCUGGUACCCGAAUUGGAGGAAUGUUGUUCACGCUGAGUGGAAUUGGCAAGGCCUACGAGUCCGGUUGGGCAUCGAGCUGGCAGUCGGCGUCGGUCGCAUGCGACACGUGCUGUGCAGUCAGUUCGGUCCUAGUCGAGCUCACAAGCCUAUUCUCGGCGUAAAAGCUGGUCAUCUAUCCGACCCGUCUUGAAACACGGACCAAGGAGUUUAUCGUGUGCGCAAGUCAUUGGGCGUUGAAAACCCAAAGGCGCAAUGAAAGUGAACGCAUCCGCAAGGAGCUGACGUGCGAUCCCGGGUACUGCGGUGCCCGAGCGCAGCAUGGCCCCAUCCCGAUUGCUUGCAAUGGGGUGGAGGAAGAGCGUACGCGGUGAGACCCGAAAGAUGGUGAACUAUUCCUGAGCAGGAUGAAGCCAGAGGAAACUCUGGUGGAAGUCCGAAGCGAUUCUGACGUGCAAAUCGAUCGUCUGACUUGGGUAUAGGGGCGAAAGACUAAUCGAACCAUCUAGUAGC